GCCCCAACAGAAAACAAUAUAAACAUGAGAGUAGAUAAAAUUAAAAUAGACAUUUAUGAUCAAAGUAACAUCAGAAUCUUCAUAAAAGCAAGUCCAUCAUUUAACAACAUAGGCACAAGAGAGUGAUAGCAUUUUCACAUAUUCUAGCGUUCAUAAGAAAAUUAAUCCAACUUCAAUAGUCUGGAUUGGAGAGGUCCUUGGUGCUUCAGUACUUAGUGAGGCCAACUUCAAUAGUUUGGAUUGGAAUGAUCCUAUUCCUAAGUGCUUCAGUACUUAAGCCAUUUUAUAGUUUGACUAAAUCCAACUUAUCAUGAUUUCUCUUUUUUCAUUUAUGAAAAAUAAUUACUUUGUUAUUCAUCAACAGAUACCAUAUGGCAUCAUGCACGAAAGCACUUAAGAACGAGCCACAAUAACUUCUCUUCAUUCCUAACAAAUGCAGACCAUAUUUAGAGCUGAAUUUAUUCCAACUGAGCACCAAGGACUUUUUGCCUCAAUGGCAACACUUCCAGAGCAUCAAGGGAGGUCACAAGUUGAAACCCACAAUAGGUGAAUGGAAUUAAGCAUCUGUCUGUCAAUGGCCAAAAAUGGGUUAUGCUCACCGUGCAGUUUCCUUCACAACAU
rnacentral:misc_RNA from 1 species